CCACAAUGUACACGUGGUCAUCCAAAGGUUGCGAGGCAAUCUCAGCCAAUUCGACGUACUCUGAAGAAUCGGUCACACCAAUCGCGAAAAUUGCAACACCUAAGAAAGAGUUGAGUAAAUAUAAGGUAAAAUUUCACAAAGUGAGUGAUGUGAUGGAAAUGCUCGUUUACCUUGGACUUUCGUUGUAUUGUAUGAUUGACACACGGAAUCCAUCAGGUCCAAUGUAUUCAAGACUCCCGACAAUAUCGUAUAAGAAUUUACGUAGCAGGUUAAAGUCCUCAUCUCCGACAGACGAACUUCCAUCAACCAAAAAAGCGAUAUCUGUUU